rnacentral:rRNA from 1 species
GUUUGAUCCUGGCUCAGAGCGAACGCUGGCGGCAUGCUUAACACAUGCAAGUCGCACGGGCACUUCGGUGUCAGUGGCGGACGGGUGAGUAAUGCGUAGGUAUCUAUCCUUGGGUGGGGGACAACGGUUGGAAACGACUGCUAAUACCGCAUGAUAACUGAGGUUUAAAGGCGCAAGUCGCCUGAGGAGGAGCCUGCGUACGAUUAGCUAGUUGGUGGGGUAAAGGCCUACCAAGGCGACGAUCGUUAGCUGGUCUGAGAGGAUGAUCAGCCACAUUGGGACUGAGACACGGCCCAAACUCCUACGGGAGGCAGCAGUGGGGAAUAUUGGACAAUGGGCGAAAGCCUGAUCCAGCAAUGCCGCGUGUGUGAAGAAGGUCUUCGGAUUGUAAAGCACUUUCGACAGGGACGAUGAUGACGGUACCUGUAGAAGAAGCCCCGGCUAACUUCGUGCCAGCAGCCGCGGUAAUACGAAGGGGGCUAGCGUUGCUCGGAAUGACUGGGCGUAAAGGGCGCGUAGGCGGAUGGCACAGUCAGAUGUGAAAUUCCCGGGCUUAACCUGGGGGCUGCAUUUGAUACGUGUGAUCUAGAGUGAGGAAGAGGGUCGUGGAAUUCCCAAUGUAGAGGUGAAAUUCGUAGAUAUUGGGAAGAACACCGGUGGCGAAGGCGGCGACCUGGUCCUUUACUGACGCUGAGGCGCGAAAGCGUGGGGAGCAAACAGGAUUAGAUACCCUGGUAGUCCACGCUGUAAACGAUGUGUGCUGGAUGUUGGGCGACCUAGUCGCUCAGUGUCGUAGCUAACGCGAUAAGCACACCGCCUGGGGAG